CCCUUUGUCUAUGAACAUAUCAUUUCUUUGUUGUUCCUUGUGUGAAACUCUGUUGGCCUUUUCAGUUAGUGUGCAUGUUUCUGUCUAGGCUAAAACAAAAGGAUUCCAUACAACCAUUGACAUUGGAGUUAAGUAUGCAGAAAAACAAACAAGACGUUUUGAUGAAGGAAAAUUAAAAGCUGGCCAAAGUGUAAUUGGUCUGCAGAUGGGAACCAACAAAUGUGCCAGCCAGGCAGGUAUGACAGCUUAUGGGACUAGGAGGCACCUUUAUGAUCCCAAAAUGCAAACUGACAAACCUUUUGACCAGACCACAAUUAGUCUGCAGAUGGGCACUAAUAAAGGAGCCAGCCAGGCAGGGAUGUUAGCACCAGGUACCAGAAGAGACAUCUAUGAUCAGAAGCUAACAUUACAGCCGGUGGACAACUCGACAAUUUCCCUACAGAUGGGUACCAACAAAGUUGCUUCCCAGAAAGGAAUGAGUGUGUAUGGGCUUGGGCGGCAAGUAUAUGAUCCCAAAUACUGUGCUGCUCCUACAGAACCUGUCAUUCACAACGGAAGCCAAGGAACA
rnacentral:sRNA from 1 species